UUAUACUAAAUGCAAGGCUGUUUUGGAAACCCUAAUUCUAUGGUGAUUUGAAACCCUAAUUUUUUGUCCAAUUGUCACUUGACAUCUUUGUGUAUUAGCCAAUAAAAUGUUGACAACUCUAGGUUUGCAUCCCUAAUUCCCUUCUCCCUUGGUAACCCUAAUUCCUGGCAAACCACAUGUUGAGAAGUGAGAACUAGAAACUUACACAUGGAUAGCUACAUGGAACACAUGCAUUGGGCCCAAUAAAAUAUAUAUUUCUUUUUUCCCAAUUUUUUUUUCAUUUGUCAAGUGUUUUUUUCUCUCUUCUCUCUUUUCUCUCUCUCGUACUCUCUCUUUUCUCACCAUCCUCACUCACACUCUCAUCUCUCUUUACCCUCAACCAUUCCCAAUCUCUUUCUCUCUGCCCUCCCCCAUCUAAUCCUAACCUCCACCACCAUCUACAAAUCAAUCACUCGUGAGAGUGAUUUUUUGCCGAGUGAAAGAAGAUUUGCCGGCGGGAGAGAAGUUCCGGCGAGGAGGAGGAGUUCCGGCCGAGAGAAUUCUUGUGGCGGUGACACGGCAGUGCUUGGCGACGGCGGCGAUGAUUUCUCAUUCUUUCCUCUGGUUACACCAUUUUCUUAAACUGACAAUGAAGUAAAGUUCUAGAUGGAUUUGAAUUUCAGUAGAAAGACCACUAAUUGGGCAUCGUGUUGUUCAAGCAAUGGAUCCGUUGAAAUCACUGAAGAAAGGAUCAAAUCGUUAGAUCUAGAGGUGGAGAGAGCACAAGUUGAAACGUCGACGUGUAAUUACCGUGAAGAAAAAACACGGAGAUGGGAAUAAGCGCAGUUGAUUCUUCAGUUGCUGGUCUUGGUGGCUGUCCAUAUGCUAAGGGGGCUUCGGGAAAUGUAGCUACCGAAGAUGUUGUGUACAUGCUUAAUGCUCCCCUCUGGUUCCUUGGGUUAUCACUGGUAGUUAACGAGUAAUUUUUCCUUCGUAAUUUUUUUGCACAAAUUGUUAAUUAAUGAGUAACCGCGAGAAACUUGAAACAGUUGAUUAUUGAUGAGGGAAUAGAACAAUUUAUAUACAUUUCUAUUAAAAAUCCACUAGAGGAGUAGUGGCAGUUGCCCUCACAAACUAUAACUUAUAUCCACCACUGGUUAACAGAUUUAGUGAUGACAAUAGACCACAGCUCAUAGACGGGUAUUCUUAAAUAUCUUGGUUAAUUAGAAUUAUGAUCUACUGAAGUUUAGGUGGAGAAUCGAUUACUAGUGCUUUGUGGGCUUGUAUUGUUGAAUAAUUGGUCUUUUGCUACUGGCAAGCCUGUGUUGCCUCUGUAAGGAUUGCUACUGCCGAGCAGAAACAUCAUGGCGGUCUUUUGAGUUUGAUAGGAGAAUAUGAGGCUGUUAUUAAUAAUUUAUACCCUUCUGUUUUGCCUUGUGUGGAAAUACUGAUAUCUGAAAUUGUCUUUUUCAAACUAAUUUGUUUGUAUCAACUAACAAGGCUUUGCAAAAUAUUUUUCCAUCAUUUAGGUAUAUCCAAACAUGAGAGCGGCAUUCAUGGAUAUCAUUUGAGUUUGCACUCUGAUUGGUCCAUGCUUCAAAUCUUUGCAUAAGCACUAUCCAGGCAUCAAGUGGCAUGAUUGUAGACGCAAAUGCAACGCAAGAUGAAUUGAUAUCUACUCCUACUACUGUACAGUUCAUCACCAAAUGGUUUUGGAGGAGUAUCUGCGCAUUUUGAUGUUCCUUUGUUCAGUGACGAACACACAGUCGGUUUCAAGGCCACGAUGACUUUUUAUACUUUAUCUCCAUGUUCUCUACAGCAGAUCAUCCCAACAAAUAAAGGAUGGAUUAGCUUGAAAGUUUUAAUCAUCUGUGUUAUAAGAGAGUAUUAUAGUAUGGGGAAAUAUUGGUGGUGUUUGAUAUAGGUUACCUGAUUAUGCCUUUUUUCCUUUUGAAAUGCUAGAGUUUUGUUUGGUCGGUGGAAUUAGAUUUUUAUUGAGCAUGGCUUAAGUGGUGGGGAUUGAAACAUAGAUGAAAAACUUCUAUAUACACCAUGCAUGUUCUCAUUUAAACUAAUGAGGUGAAAAGUACAAGCAAUACUAAUGAGGGAACUUUAGAUUGUAGGAUAUGAUAGAAGAUUAUCAAUUUGGUUUUGGGCCUUCGAUCUAUAUGUCCUAAAGAGGGAGGGACCUGGAGUUUGAAGUUAUCAACCAAAUUAAUGGAAAAAAGGAGCUAUGAUUAUUUUUGAAUUAUUGUUUAGAGGAAGAGAGAAAUAGAUUGAGUCUAUGUAUUGAUGUUUUUCUUUAAAGUAUAUCCUAAUGCACUCUUGCAUCCUUAUUGUGCAUUGGAACUUUUUUUUUUCUUCAUAUUGUCAUGAUAAUGAUAAUUUAUGUGGUUGUUUUUGUAAAUUGAAUUUGGCUUCAUAUGAUACAAUGAGAUUGGCCUAGAAAAAUCUUAUACAUUGAAGGUUGAUGAGAGGAAAGGAAGGUAGAAAUAAUUCUCAUAUGUUGAAGAAUACUAUUUUGGAACUUGCUAUCAUGUCCUUCACAAAAUUCUUCUAUCAUCACUAAAAUUUCUCCUACCUAUAUUUUGAAUAGCA